AGCUUGCUCCACCGGAAAAAGAAGAGUGGCGAACGGGUGAGUAACACGUGGGUAACCUGCCCAUCAGAAGGGGAUAACACUUGGAAACAGGUGCUAAUACCGUAUAACAAUCGAAACCGCAUGGUUUUGAUUUGAAAGGCGCUUUCGGGUGUCGCUGAUGGAUGGACCCGCGGUGCAUUAGCUAGUUGGUGAGGUAACGGCUCACCAAGGCCACGAUGCAUAGCCGACCUGAGAGGGUGAUCGGCCACAUUGGGACUGAGACACGGCCCAAACUCCUACGGGAGGCAGCAGUAGGGAAUCUUCGGCAAUGGACGAAAGUCUGACCGAGCAACGCCGCGUGAGUGAAGAAGGUUUUCGGAUCGUAAAACUCUGUUGUUAGAGAAGAACAAGGAUGAGAGUAACUGUUCAUCCCUUGACGGUAUCUAACCAGAAAGCCACGGCUAACUACGUGCCAGCAGCCGCGGUAAUACGUAGGUGGCAAGCGUUGUCCGGAUUUAUUGGGCGUAAAGCGAGCGCAGGCGGUUUCUUAAGUCUGAUGUGAAAGCCCCCGGCUCAACCGGGGAGGGUCAUUGGAAACUGGGAGACUUGAGUGCAGAAGAGGAGAGUGGAAUUCCAUGUGUAGCGGUGAAAUGCGUAGAUAUAUGGAGGAACACCAGUGGCGAAGGCGGCUCUCUGGUCUGUAACUGACGCUGAGGCUCGAAAGCGUGGGGAGCAAACAGGAUUAGAUACCCUGGUAGUCCACGCCGUAAACGAUGAGUGCUAAGUGUUGGAGGGUUUCCGCCCUUCAGUGCUGCAGCUAACGCAUUAAGCACUCCGCCUGGGGAGUACGACCGCAAGGUUGAAACUCAAAGGAAUUGACGGGGGCCCGCACAAGCGGUGGAGCAUGUGGUUUAAUUCGAAGCAACGCGAAGAACCUUACCAGGUCUUGACAUCCUUUGACCACUCUAGAGAUAGAGCUUCCCCUUCGGGGGCAAAGUGACAGGUGGUGCAUGGUUGUCGUCAGCUCGUGUCGUGAGAUGUUGGGUUAAGUCCCGCAACGAGCGCAACCCUUAUUGUUAGUUGCCAUCAUUCAGUUGGGCACUUUAGCAAGACUGCCGGUGACAAACCGGAGGAAGGUGGGGAUGACGUCAAAUCAUCAUGCCCCUUAUGACCUGG
rnacentral:rRNA from 1 species